rnacentral:rRNA from 1 species
UACAGAGGGUGCGAGCGUUAAUCGGAAUUACUGGGCGUAAAGCGUGCGCAGGCGGUUUUGUAAGUCUGUCGUGAAAUCCCCGGGCUCAACCUGGGAAUUGCGAUGGAGACUGCAAGGCUAGAAUCUGGCAGAGGGGGGUAGAAUUCCACGUGUAGCAGUGAAAUGCGUAGAGAUGUGGAGGAACACCGAUGGCGAAGGCAGCUUGCUGGGCUCUUUCUGACACUGAGAUGCGAAAGCGUGGGGAGCGAACGGG